UGCCAGGGGGCACAGUGUGGCUUUAGCUAGAUUCUUUGAACUUGGAGUCAAACCUGAGGCUCUGACCCCUUGUAGCCGCUGGCCCUCCCUUGACCCCUUUGGAUGAGUGAGGGGGCUCAGCUGGACCCUAUGACCUUGCUUCACAUUGGAGCAUGGAGUUUUCCAAGGAUCUGUCACUAGUGUGCCGUCUGAACAGACAUCGCUGCUGACACCUAAAACCUCUUCUAAGAAACACUCCAAUUAUUCAGAUAAUUGCUUGUGCCUAAGACUGUAUAACCUAAGAGUCGGGUGCAGGCUUGAUAAAGAAUUGGAAGCCCUCUGCAAAACUGCUACAGGUGUUCUGUGUUCCGACGCCCUCCAUCACCUUGGACAGGGGUUCUUCUUCCGGCCCAGUCUCUCCCAUUUCCUCUUUUCUCCCUCCAUCUCCUCCCAUUUGCUUGGCCAGAGCAGAGGCUCGGCUGGUCUAGUUCAGGUAGGAUGGCCAGCAUCCAGUCACUGCCAUAUUCAACAAGGACUUGAGAGCUUCUAGAGAGAGAAAUGCAAGUCAAACCAGCCUGGGCUUUUAAAAGGGGGCUUUGUGUGACCCUGGACACCUGCAACUGGGAGCCAACACUGCCACGUGCUCUCUCUUUUCUCACGCCUCAACUUCCUCUGAAUACUGAUCUAAAUCUCUUUGCUAAGCUUCCUCUCUAUGGCAGGUAAUGUGCACGAUGGCAGCUUUUGCUUAUUGUACCUCAUGACUUCACUGCCAGAAAGGGACAGAGAGGGGCCUUCACGGCCUUCACUGGGGCCAGGUGACCAUCAUUGGCUCAAACACUGCGGCUUGGGAAGAGCUGAACUGAUGCCUGCUCACAUCUGGACUCUGAUUUGUGCUAGGGAGGGGGUACUUUCCAGAAGAAGGGGCCCCUGUCCUGGAAGACAUACAAUGGAGCCCACCACCGUGGUGCUGAGAGCUAUUCCCAAGUCCUAGGGCGCAGUGGGCCCUCCUCCUUCGCCUCUGCUUCCCCUGCCUGGCAGUGAGGGGCAUGGCCUGGGGGAGGGGUGACAUCUGUCCACAGAGCCCAUUGUUUUUUGGCUUGAAAAUCCAUAGGAAAAUGGGGGUUUUUCUCAGCUCCCUUUUUUUGGAGUGGGGGCAGCAGCCGUGUGAUUUUCUGAGUGGAAUGCCUUGGAGGAUCUAAGCGGUGAGUGAAGGAAGAACAAAAGAACCAUUCUCAGAAGCAUGGCAAAAAUGAAACCAAAUAAAAACCCCAUAAAAAUCCCUACCGGGGCAGAGGAAAUACCAAGCCAGUGCUUUUGGAGUGCAGAUUCUGUAAUAAAGGAAAGAUUCAUGGAUACGCUGUGCAACUUGCUUAUGUUUGGACUGGAGGGAGAAUGUGCAGGAACAUGAUAUAAAAGAGUCAUCCAAGAAAGGGAGGCAUCGCUGUGUGCAUUUGUGUUGUGUGUUGUUGCAAUUCAGGAGUGGACUAAGGACUGGGGUUCAUGGGGAGCCUGAAAGAGACACUGGACUGGUUCAAAGUUUGUGCACAGCUGCGGAGAUCAGAUGACUGUCAGCUGGGCCUGCCCCCUGCUGCCUCUGCUUGAUUGCAGGAGGAACUCUGACCUUGAUUUAGUCACCAAAACACCCAUCUGGAAAGCUCUUUGAAGAUUGAUUAAGUAAACACUCACAGCACAGACAAUCA
rnacentral:lncRNA from 1 species